rnacentral:rRNA from 1 species
UACGGAGGGUGCAAGCGUUGCUCGGAAUUAUUGGGCGUAAAGGGUAGGUAGGUGGUCUCAUUUGUCUGGGGUGAAAGCCUUGGGCUUAACCCAAGAAGUGCCCCGGAAACGGUGAGACUAGAGUGGCUGGAGAGGUUCGAUGGAACGUUCCGGUGUAGCGGAUGAAAUGCGUAGAGAUGUGGAGGAACACCAGUGGCGAAGGCGGCUUUCUGGUCUGUAACUGACGCUGAGGCGCGAAGGCCAGGGGAGGCAAAACGGG